GAGCUGCAGAGGGUCUGUCUGGUCUGUCUGUUGUAGAACAGGAGCCGAAGGAGGUCUGUCUGUCUGUUGUAGAACAGGGAGCUGCAGAGGGUCUGUCGACUGUUGUUGUGGAGCAGGAGCUGCAGAGGGUAUGUCUGUCUGUUGUAGAACAGGAGCCAGAAGGAGUCUGUCUGUCUGUUGUAGAACAGGAGCUGCAGAGGUUGUCUGUCUGUUGUUGUAGACAGGAGCUGCAGAGGUAUGUCUGUUCUGUGUAGAACAGGAGCUGCAGAGGGUUCUGUCUUCUGUUGUAGAACAGGAGCUGCAGAGGUAGUCUGUCUGUCUGUUGUAGAAAAGGAGCUGCAGAGGGUAUGUCGUCUGUCGUUGUAGAACAGGAGCUGCAGAGGGUUGUCUGUCUGUGUAGAACAGGAGCUGAGAGGAGGGUCUGUCUGUCUGUUGUAGAACAGGAGCUGCAAAGGGUCUGUCUGAUGUCUGUUGUGGAGCAGGAGCUGCAGAGGGUAUGUCUGCUGUCUGUUGUAGAACAGGAGCUGCAGAGGGUAUGUCUGUCUGUUGUAGAACAGGAGCCAGAAGAAGGUCUGUCUGUCUGUUGUAGUAGAACAGGAGCUGCAGCGGGAUGUCUGUCUGUCUGUUGUAGAACAGGAGCUGCAGAGGGUAUGUCUGUCUGUUGUGGAACAGGAGCUGCAGAGGGUCUAUGUCUGCUCGUUGUGUAACAGGAGCUGCAGAGGGUAUGUCUGUCUGUUGUGGACAGGAGCUGCAGAGGGUAUGUCUGUCUGUUGUAGAACAGGAGAGAUGCCGAGGGUUGUCGUCUGUUGUGUAACAGGAGCUGCAGAGUGAUGUCUGUCUGUCUGUUGUAGAAACAGGAGCUGCAGGGGUAUGUCUGUCUGUUGUUGUAGAACAGGAGCUGCAGAGGGUAUGUCUGUCUGUCUGUUGUAGAACAGAGCUGCAGAGGGAUGUCUCUGUCUUGGUGGAACAGGGCAGCUCAGGGGUAUGUUCUGUCUGUUGUAGAACAGGAGCUGCAGAGGGUCUUGUCGUCUGUCUGUGUAGAACAGGAGCUGCCAGAGGGUCUGUCUGUCUGUUUGUUGUGGAACAGGUGCUGCAGAGGGUAGUCUGUCUGUUGUGGAACAGGACUGCAGCGGGUAUGUCUGUCUGUCUGUUGUGACAGCGAGCUGCAGAGGGUAUGUCUGUCUGUUGUAGAACAGGAGCUGCAGAGGGUAGUCUGUCGUUGUCUGUCUGUUGUGAGCUCUAUAUGACAAGGUGUCAGAGGUCAUG
rnacentral:lncRNA from 1 species